CAUUAUCUAUAAUAUAAAAAUAAGUCGGGUUUUCCUUCCUGACGCUAUAACUCCAGAACGCACGAACCGAUUUCCACGGUUUUGCAUUCGUUGGAAAGGUCUCGGGCUCCGUGAGGUUUAUAGCAAAGAAAAUUCAGGAAAAAUUU